rnacentral:rRNA from 1 species
CUAAGAAUAUUCCGCAAUGGACGGAAGUCUGACGGAGCGACGCCGCGUGGAUGACGAAGGCCGAAAGGUUGUAAAGUUCUUUUGCUGGGGAAGAAUAACCGCAGGAGGGAAUGCCUGUGGGAUGACAAGAACCGGCGAAUAAGCCCCGGCCAACUACGUGCCAGCAGCCGCGGUAACACGUAGGGGGCGAGCGUUGUUCGGAAUUACUGGGCGUAAAGGGCAUGUAGGCGGCUUGGAAAGCCUGGCGUGAAAGUCUGCAGCUUAACUGCAGGGGUGCGCUGGGAACUGCUGAGCUUGAGUGACGGAGAGGGAGCUGGAAUUCCUGGUGUAGGGGUGAAAUCUGUAGAUAUCAGGAAGAACACCGAUGGCGAAGGCAAGCUCCUGGCCGACGACUGACGCUGAGGUGCGAAAGUGUGGGGAUCAAACAGGAUUAGAUACCCUGGUAGUCCACACAGUCAACGAUGUGCACUAGGUGCUGGGGCGGUAGCUUCGGUGCCGGAGCGAACGUGGUAAGUGCACCGCCUGGGGAGUAUGCUCGCAAGGGUGAAACUCAAUGAAUUGACGGGGGUCAUA